rnacentral:tRNA from 1 species
UCCUCGGUAGUAUAGUGGUCAGUAUCCCCGCCUGUCACGCGGGAGACCGGGGUUCGAUUCCCCAACCGGGGAG